rnacentral:rRNA from 1 species
AGAGUUUGAUCCUGGCUCAGGAUGAACGCUGGCGGUAUGCCUAACACAUGCAAGUCGUACGAGAGUUUUUAACUCAAGUGGCGGACGGGUGAGUAACACGUGAGAAUUUACCUCUAGGAGGGGGAUAACAACUGGAAACGGUUGCUAAUACCCCAUAUGCUUCCGAGUGAAAUGAAUUUAUUCGCCUAGAGAGAAGCUCGCGGCUGAUUAGCUUGUUGGUAGGGUAAAAGCCUACCAAGGCGACGAUCAGUAUCUGGUUUGAGAGGACGAUCAGACACACUGGAACUGAGACACGGUCCAGACUCCUACGGGAGGCAGCAGUGGGGAAUUUUCCGCAAUGGGCGAAAGCCUGACGGAGCAAUACCGCGUGAGGGAAGACGGCCUAUGGGUUGUAAACCUCUUUUUUCAGGGAGGAAGAUCUGACGGUACCUAAUGAAUAAGCAUCGGCUAACUCCGUGCCAGCAGCCGCGGUAAUACGGAGGAUGCGAGCGUUAUCCGGAAUUAUUGGGCGUAAAGAGUCCGUAGGUGGUUUAGCAAGUCUGCCGUUAAAGAAUGGAGCUUAACUCCGGAACGGCGGUGGAAACUUGAGGGCUUGAGUGUGGUAGGGGCAGAGGGAAUUCCCAGUGUAGCGGUGAAAUGCGUAGAUAUUGGGAAGAACAUCGGUGGCGAAAGCGUGCUACUGGGCUGAAACUGACACUGAGGGACGAAAGCUAGGGUAGCGAAAGGGAUUAGAUACCCCUGUAGUCCUAGCCGUAAACGAUGGAAACUAGGUGUGGCUUGUAUCGACCCGAGCCGUGCCGUAGCUAACGCGUUAAGUAUCCCGCCUGGGGAGUACGCACGCAAGUGUGAAACUCAAAGGAAUUGACGGGGGCCCGCACAAGCGGUGGAGUAUGUGGUUUAAUUCGAUGCAACGCGAAGAACCUUACCAAGACUUGACAUGUCGCGAAUCUUCUUGAAAGAGAAGAGUGCCUUCGGGAGCGCGAACACAGGUGGUGCAUGGCUGUCGUCAGCUCGUGUCGUGAGAUGUUGGGUUAAGUCCCGCAACGAGCGCAACCCUCAUUCUUAGUUGCCAGCAUUAAGGUGGGCACUUUAGGAAGACUGCCGGUGACAAACCGGAGGAAGGUGAGGAUGACGUCAAGUCAGCAUGCCCCUUACGCCCUGGGCUACACACGUACUACAAUGGUUGGGACAAAGGGCAGCGACUCCGCGAGGAAUAGCGAAUCUCAUCAAACCCAGCCUCAGUUCAGAUUGCAGGCUGCAACUCGCCUGCAUGAAGGAGGAAUCGCUAGUAAUCGCAGGUCAGCAUACUGCGGUGAAUUCGUUCCCGGGCCUUGUACACACCGCCCGUCACACCAUGGAAGCUGGUCACGCCCGAAGUAGUUACCCUAACCUUUCGAGGAGGGGGAUUCCUAAGGCAGGGCUAGUGACUGGGGUGAAGUCGUAACAAGGUAACC